rnacentral:rRNA from 1 species
UACAGAGGGUGCGAGCGUUGUCCGGAAUCACUGGGCGUAAAGGGCGCGUAGGUGGCGACCCAAGUCGAUGGUGAAAGCUCGCCGCUCAACGGCGAGUCGGCCACCGAUACUGGGUUGCUGGAGCACUGUAGAGGGCAGAUGGGAAUUCCGGGUGUAGCGGUGGAAUGCGGUAGAGAUCCGGAAGAACGACCGGUGGCGAAGGCGGUCUGCUGGGCAGUUGCUGACACUGAGGCG